UACUGGAUUGAUCUCUGGCAGUAGUCAUAUGUUGUCUCAAAGAUUAAGCCAUGAUGGGUUGGUAAGUAUGAAAUAUUAAGACUGUGAAAAUGCGAAUCUCAUAUAAAUCAGUUAUAGUUUGUUUUGAUGGUAGCUACUACGGAUAACCGUAGUAGAUUAUGAAGCUAAUAGUGCAAUUACCCCGCACUUGCUGGAAGGGAUUGCAUAUUAUUAGUUAAGAGGUCGACGCAGGGCUCUGCCGUUGCUGCGAUGAUUAUGAUAACUGCGAGGAUUCGACGGCUUAGUCGCGGCGAGCAUCAUCAAAUUUCUGCCGCCUAUCAACUUUCGAUGUAGGAUAGUGGCCUACCAUCGGUGGUGACGAGGUGAACGGAGAGAAAUUAGGGUUCGAUUCGCGGAGAGGAGGCCUGAGAAACGGGGCUACCACAUCAAGGAAGGCAGCGCUGCGGCGAAAUUACCCAAUCCUGACAGGGCCGGGAGGUAUGUGAAUAAUGAACAUACGGUCUGGAUGAGUGUUGGUAAUUGGAAGAGUAGCAAUUCUAAAUGCCCUUAACGGGAGAUCCAUUGGAGCAAGUCUGGUGAGCAGCAGCUGGGUAAUUCCAGCGCAUAAUAGACGUAUAUCUUAGGUUGUUGCAGUUAAAAGCCUCGUAUUUGGGACUUGGGUGGGCGGCCGUCGCCUCACGGGUGUGCACCGGUCGUUCGUCCCUUCUGCCGGCUGUAUGCGUCCUGGCUUAAUUGGCGGGUCGUUGCUCCGGCGCUGUUCUGUUGAGAAAUUAGAGUGCUCUAAAGCAAGCUACGCUCUGUAUCAUUUAGCCAUGGGAUAGCAUUUAUAGGAUUUCGGUGCCUAUUACGUUGGCCUUCGGGAUCGGAAGUAAUGAUUAUAACAGGAGGCAAUCAAGGGGGAUUCGUAUUUCAUAGUCAAGAGAGUGAAAUUCCUUGGAUAUUAUGAAGAACGGAACAAUAUGCGAAAGCAUUUGCGAGAAGGAUGUUUUCAUUAAAUCAAGAACGAAAGUUGCAUAAGGGGCUCGAAGACGAUCAAGAUAAUGCGUCUACGUUCUCACCAAAAACGUGCCGAGAUCCAGGAUGCGACGAUGUUGCUUUAGGACUCCGCCGGCACCUUUAAUGGAGAAAUCAAAGUCUAUUGGGUUCGGAGGAGCAAGAUGGUCGGCAAGCUGAACUUAAAAGGAAAAUUGACGAAAGGGCCACGCAGGAGUGAGAAAGCCUGACGGACUUAAAUUUGACUCAAACACGGGGAAACUAACAGGUUCGCAGAGAUAGAAGGAGAUAUGUAACGACUGAAACUCUUUCGAGAAUGUCUAUGGGUGGUGUGAAAAUGGCGUUACUUAGUUGAGUGGGAGGCGAUUAUUGUACUGAGUUUAUCUCAGCGUAUAAGCGAACUGAGACUCAGUGCUAACUAGCUAUGCGGAGGAUAUGCCUCCGCAGGCCGAUAGCUUCUGAGGGACUCGGCGUUUCAGCGGGAAGUUGACGGAAUACAGGUACUUGAUGAGCUUAGAUGUUCAUGGCGCAACUAGCGCGGCUAACACUGAUGUAUUCAACGGAAGCUAUAGCCUUGGCGCGACAGGAGUAACACCGGGAAUCUUUGAAUUUUCAUGUGAUGGGAUAGAUAUUUGUAAUUGUUGGUCUGUCACGAAGGGAUUCCAUAAGUAAGUCGAGAUAAUCAGCUCGCGUUGACUACGUCACUGCCUUUAUUGUACACAACGGCCAUGUAAAAUCCUGA
rfam:Ipomoea nil DNA, scaffold: scaffold2450, cultivar: Tokyo-kokei standard.